AUAAUAUAUUAUCAGAAUGCCUGCUACGUUGCAGCUGUGAGUAGGCUGCCGGGUCACAUCCCGCCUCGUGCAAGGACCUUCCCCAAGCGUCACGCGCAGAACGGAAGGAGGCUAAGGGAGUCCAACCACUCAUGCGAACAUUGCUAUACUCUUGAAUUGAAUCUAAGAGAUUACACGCGGGAGAUAAAUUCCCGCGUUCUGAUCGAUUGUGCUAAAAAUAGCCGGUCUGACCUCGCUCAUUGUUUAUAUCUCUUUGUUGCGAUUGUGUGUGUGAUUUAAUGUGUGUCUGUUGUUGUUGUUUUGUUUGUAUUGAUAUUUACAAUCAUGUUGGAGUUACUGCUUCAUAAAUCAAAACAAGAGAAAUAUCGGAUACUAACUGACGCCUGACGGCUUUGUCUGCACGAGAUGCUGAAAAAUAUGCAGGUCAUGUGAAGCACAGCACUCAUCCUUAAUUUUCGGAAUCGAAGACAUUUCCAUGAUGAUCACGUGGGCUUCUUUGACCUUUCCAUUUGGCUAACAAAAUUUACUUUCAAAACCGCAUUUCAAGUUAAUCUGAUUUAUCCCAUAAUUGGACAAUCAAAUUUAUUUUUUUUUUGUUCGGUAUUUUUCCCCAUUUGCCAUUGAUACAAAAAUGUGAAUGAAUAGCUGAAAAUGA